rnacentral:rRNA from 1 species
UACAGAGGGGGCAAGCGUUGUUCGGAAUUACUGGGCGUAAAGGGCGCGUAGGCGGCCUGUUAAGUCGAACGUGAAAUCCCCGGGCUCAACCCGGGAACUGCGUCCGAUACUGGCAGGCUUGAAUCCGGGAGAGAGAUGCGGAAUUCCAGGUGUAGCGGUGAAAUGCGUAGAUAUCUGGAGGAACACCGGUGGCGAAGGCGGCAUCCUGGACCGGUAUUGACGCUGAUGCGCGAAAGCCAGGGGAGCAAACGGG